CACAAAUAUACAAACAGAGACUUUGUGCGUAGACCAUCACCAAGUACACAACGAUAAAGGAAAAGCAACGUUAUUGGAUAUUGCUAUUGCAUAAAAUGGCCGAAAUGUCUACACCGAACGAUGAAGAAGAAUUGGUGUGGAAAAAUUUUGAAAAAUUGGAUAAUUUUAGGACAAAAUGUAAAUUGUGUCUCCUUUCUACUUUAAUUUUCAUGUACUGAGAUAUGACCCACGUGAGGCAUCAUUUCAAAAACCGCCAUCCAAAUGUAGACAUGAGUAAAAAACUUCAUCCGAAAUGGCUGCAUUUUAAUAAAAUUGACGAUUCGCGCAUUGAAUGUAAAUAUUGUCCUAAUAUUUAUCGGACCCACACUUCAAGCACUAGUUUGAAGGAACAUUUAUCUACGAAACAUGAUAUAAAUUUAGAAACUGAUUCUAAAAGGAGUUUUAUGUGGGACCAUAUUCAAGAGCUUGAUGAGGAUAAAAAUCAGGUGAAGUGUCUUGAGUGUAAUGAAAUGAUUAAAAUUGAUUAUCUGAUUACGAAAUUAUAUAAUCACUUACUUGAUAAACAUUUUGAUAUUAUAAAAAUACAAUCUUUACAAUGAGAAACUUAUAUGCCUGGGCCAUUAACAAGUGCACAAUGUUAAAGAGAAAAUAACGAUUUAUCCUGUUCAAAUAAAGGUUCUAUAUUCAAGUACCACAACCACAGUAGUAACAAUCUUGAUUCUGACGAUUUAAGUGAUUUGCAGUGUCUGAAGAAACAGCCAUAUCUAUGACAUA